UCCUCGAUGGCUCAGUCGGGUAGAACGUCUGCCAUGUAAGCAGAAGAUCCCGGGUUCGAGUCCUGGUUGGGGCA